rnacentral:lncRNA from 1 species
UUGCUCAACUUCAACUGAUUCAUUCACCCAUAAACUUGGUACAAGACAUUUUGACACACAAUGUUUCUACCACAUAUACAACACUGCAUCUUAGCAACACUCUGGAACACUCACUAGGUGAAAACUCACUCGGAUCCAGCGCAGCCUAGAGUACAAUGCUGUAUUUUUUAACCACAGUGAGAUGAGAGAGCUCCACGACUCGAAGCAAACCAUCUCUUAAACCACCUAAUUAGACCUCAUGAUACAGACACGUUUACUAACUUAAUGAGACAAUCCUAAAAACGAGAUUACAAAUUAUACCAAGCUGUUGGUCCCUUAAGAUCGGCGUGAUAAACUUGACCCAACAACAUCAUCACCUUAGGCGUGUUCCCGCAUUAGUUUUGUACCACCAGCUUUCAACGUGCUGAUCCUCAGCCAUAAAACCGGACAAACCUAUCCGGAAUGAAAGAUCGAGCCUUGGUAGCCAGCACGAACCGGAACUGUGAAUCCAAGUUUCCAGCGGUGUGGGGCUCGGACCACCGACUAAAUUGAUUUUCGCCGGCGCUGGGAUGUCGAACCACCACCACGUACCCCUUAAAGGUAAGCUCCUCCAGUCGACCACUCCUUCGUCGCAGACCUUCGGUACAUGUUAUCCCCGAAAACCAGAAGACAAACCACCUUUCACUCGCCGUCAAUCCUUGCCUCCGAAAGUCUCACCUCCAUGUGCGAAGGUAGAUCCAUGACGGAGAACUCAUCACACCGAGUCACGCGCCACCACCGGUUAGGAAUCGCCACAGAUCUGUAAAGGGAAAAUCAGAUCUUGCUCAUCCUCAAGCUCUAAACGCCGACCCACUUCUCUUUCGUCGCCACCACAGCCUCGCCGCUGUUCCAGAGGGAGCCGGAAUGCGACGCCAACGGAUCCGGAGAUCCGCCGGGAAAAUCCCAACUAACCCAGAAUCAACGAGCAAGGAGACCAGAUGAAAGACAGAAAAGAAGAGAGCAAAGGAAAAAGGAGAUGAGGGGAAAGGAGGAGCCUCCGGCACCGGCACCGCCGGACCGGAGUUAGGGUUUCACGGCUUUGAUGUUAGAGAUGGACGAGAGCGUUUGUUAGAGAGAGAAGUUUUU